AGGCUCACUUCAGCAGCAUAUAUACUUAAAUUGGAAUGACACAGAGAAGAUUAGCAUGUCCCCUAUACAAGGAUAACACUUUUUAAAAAAAUCUCCUUAAACACUAUAUAUUUUU
ensembl:snRNA U6 U6 spliceosomal RNA